rnacentral:rRNA from 1 species
UACAGAGGUCCCAAGCGUUGUUCGGAUUCAUUGGGCGUAAAGGGUGCGUAGGCGGCGCGGUAAGUCGGGUGUGAAAUCUCGGGGCUUAACUCCGAAACUGCAUUCGAUACUGCCGUGCUUGAGGACUGGAGAGGAGACUGGAAUUCCAGGUGUAGCGGUGAAAUGCGUAGAUAUCUGGAGGAACACCGGUGGCGAAGGCGGCAUCCUCGGACCAACACUGACACUGAGGAGCGAAAGCCAGGGGAGCAAACGGG